rnacentral:rRNA from 1 species
UACGUAGGGGGCAAGCGUUGUCCGGAAUCAUUGGGCGUAAAGAGCGCGUAGGCGGUCCGGUAAGUCCGCUGUGAAAGUCGGGGGCUCAACCCUCGAAUGCCGGUGGAUACUGCCGGGCUAGAGUCCGGAAGAGGCGAGUGGAAUUCCUGGUGUAGCGGUGAAAUGCGCAGAUAUCAGGAGGAACACCAAUGGCGAAGGCAGCUCGCUGGGACGGUACUGACGCUGAGACGCGAAAGCGUGGGGAGCGAACAGG